UUGUACGUGCUGGGGCAUUCCCUCGAUCAGAUGCGCCUUCAGUAGCCCCUGGACCAAUCAAUUCUUGUUUCUCGUGGAAUGUGGCAAUUCCUACGUGCGGUAAAUGCAUAUGAGCGAGAGUUGUGUACGUGCUGGAGCAUUCUGUACUGGUGGUAUAGCCAAUAACUCGCAGUUACGUUGGUGGAUCAGGUGCGCCUCCACUCCAGUAGCCCCCCCCGGAUGAAUCAAUUCUGGGUUUUCUCUGUGGAAUGUGCAAGUAUUUACUUGCGGUAAAUGCAUCGACAAGUUGUUAUGCAGUUGGACAGUCCCGUCGACCGUGCUGCUGAAGUCAGCUGUGAUGGCAUGAGAAGAACGUUUUCUUGACAGGACGUGUUUGCAGGAACAAUUUGCGAACCGAAGCGUAAAUGCUAGGGCCCUGCUGCACUUAAUCGAACAGGAAGAGAGGAGAUUUUAAAAAGAAAUCGUAGCGAAUGGGCAGCAAUAACUUCUCAACGCACAUCCUGACAAGUCCAUUGCUCCUCAGUAACACAGGUAGUAACAGUAGAAGUAGUUUUAUUUAUUUGUCUAUGGGCUCCUUGGCCUCUUGCAGUAUUUUACUGUGUUGUGCUACACAAUUACUACUACAUUCUUCAGCUAGUAGUUAGUUUUUUUCUUUUUUGCACUGAAGCUAGUAGUUAGUUUGUUACUGCCACUGAAAAAAAUACCGGCGCUUGAUACAGGUCAUCCUGGUAGAGUAGAUAACCA